AAGCCCCUAAUUGCAAAAUUAUAAUAAUUUGGAGGGAAGGGGGUUUACAUUCUCCAUUCCAAGGGAGGAUCUAGCUUUCCUUAGCAGACAACUGUCUUUCAAAAUCAAGACACCACCACUGGAGAUUUUCAAGACCUGGAUGAAAUAAGGGAAUGAGCAACCUGGUCAGACCUCAGUUGACCAGCAGAAGAUAAGACUUAUAGACCCCUGAGAUCUCUCAAAUGGAGGUUGUUGGGAUCAGCCCUGCAGACAUUGUCCUCUGUCACUGCCUGUAUCUUCCCAUUCCUCCAAGACACAUCUCCAAGGAGUGGUGUUGAAAAGUGGUUCUGGUGUGGCAAGUAUCCAUGGGAGACAAAGCAGCAGAGGGAUGGGAAGACCAUCUGCGGGGAGCAGCCACCAUCUUGUCUUCUUCUGGAGAAGCCAUGUGCUACUGUGUGGGAACGGUCACCAUCUUAUCCUUGUCCCGAGGCUGUGCAGAUUCAACCUACAGGGAGCGUCCACCAUCCCACCUUUGUCCUGGCAGCCACACAGAACUAAGUCAAGGUGGUGAACAGCUCUUGUGUAUAAAGCCCCUUCUCUUUUUGUAUACUUUUGUUAUUUAUAUUGCUGUUGUUGGUGUGUGUUCCUUAUUCCAAGGCUGUUUUCUUUCAGUUAAUUGUUACCUCAGCCUUUGUCCAUCUCUUAUUGGAAGGGGCAAGGGGGAGGGAAUUGACUUAUUUGGAGUCUAAUUUCCAGCUGGUGUUAGACCAUCACACCAUCUCAAGUUAAUUUUCAUAUUUAUCAUAGCUGAUGAACUAUAUCUUUGUCUGGGAUGAUCAAGUGAAGUAUUAAUAGGCUGAUUAGUCUUUGGGGGAUGAUAGACAAAAAAAACUGCAGAGACAUGUUACUAUGUUCGACUUUUAUUUUGUGAUUUCUGAGCCAUAUGAAAUGAGCGCACAUUUCUUCGUUCAGAGUUUGCUUACACAUUGUUAUGGCUGAAUCCUUUACCCUUUUUCUACAUGUUUAGGCAUGCAAUUGUUUGGACAUCCCAGAUUUUCACUACCCCAGAAAUUAUUUUCUUUAUAAGACACCUAAACCAAAAUAAUAUUUCACUUAAUUGGUUUUGAUAAGUCAGCAUGGCCUCUAUUCUCAUGAAAUGUCUGCUUGGCCUACUGUUUCUUUUUCCUGUUUCUGGGCUUCAUCUACUGUCAAAAAUUGGUAUUGUCAUACUCUUUUACCAGUCAGGCUUUUAAGCUAUUUCUCAUGUACUUUAUGGUGUUAUAUAACUAUGUAAGCACUUACAUAAUGGAAGACGAAGGCAAAACGAAUAGCUGAGUAGCACUAAAAUUAUGUUCACACCAUAUAUUUCCCUCAUAAUAAGGCUGCUAUCCAGAAUAACAUUUUAAGUUUUGGUCCUCUCUUGAAACCAGAGAAUUCAAGUCCAAAGUCACACUGGAUAUUUUCAUAGCACUGUAAUUUAGUAGAGAACAGUAUUGAUGCUCUUGAUGUAGUGCUGCUGAGAUACCCGCCUACGCCUAUACGCACAUUUAUUUCUUUAAACAGGCUAGAGGACAGACCCAAGCAGUAUUUUCCUCACCAUUCAUUUCUGAGCAUUAGCCCUCGCGUGUCUGGGCAUAACAACAACAUCCCAGCCCCAGCUCAGGAAUCAGUGCAUGCUGUAGAUCCAUCCAGUGUAAUUCAAAUGCAUCCACCUCCUGGGUUUGUGGAGAUAAGGAAUGAACUGUGUGUUGUCUGGCCUUGGGUGCAUGCAAUAUCAGUCAAUCCAUGCUAUCAACCCCUAGGUUUGCCAAAACCACUUGCCAAAACCUUGACUAACAGAUUGUUAAUGGUGUCGAUAAUGUCCCAGCACAGCCACAAUGUGCUAGGAGCUGGUGGGAAGCUUAGGCAUGGACAGCCAGAAAAUAUUUAUUACUUCAGAAAAGAGGAAAGAGAACCGGGAUUGGGAAUUACAUUUCAUAACAACAAGCUCAUUAAAUUAUUGCUAAUUAUUCUUUUUUAUUGUUGUCUAAUCUUCUUAAUAAUCAUUAAAGUGUUGAGGUUAAUUCUCCUUUUACAGCCACAGGAGGAGUAUUAUCAACUGCUUUCCAGCAGUCAGUCGGGAAGACUCUGAAAAAGCAUUCUGUCAGUAUGGGGUAGAAGGGGUCACUUGCUUUUAACAUAGAACUUGAGCAGCUUUUUUCACCAUGUAUACAGUGGGAGGUACAGGUGAGGUUCUUAGUCUGAGAGGUCCUUUUGUCCAAAGGCUUAUGUGAAUGACAGUGAUAGGACAUAAUUCAAAACAAGCCUACAGUGGUUCCAAAUGAAGAGUUUGAAAUAGGUUGGAAUUAUCCCUCUGCAGGGUUAACACUAGCAGUGCAUAGAGCCUCAAGAUAGGAACAUAGAUGGGAUAGCUCCAGAGACACUGGUCCAUACUGGGCUCACAGCCAAGAUCUGGGCAUAGGGCAUGCAUUGUGGACUCUGACCCAGUCUGAUGUGCCAUGGCAUUGUACCAGGGCAGUUCAGCACAGAGAAACUCAGGUGGCGCCAUGUUGUACUUGGUAAUCUGUGAUUACAUGGUGAUCUGUGCAGGCUUGCUCUGAACACUGACUACAGGAUUGCUCCCGGGAGAUGGAUCAAUGGCUGGCUUUUAAAAUGAAAUUCAGUAUCUCUGCAAGAGCUUAACCUUCCCCUACUUCUUCUUAUGAACUGCUCCAACAUUUAAUUUUCAUCCUCAGGGAAGUGGCCUGACUUCAACUUCUAACAACUGUGCUAUCUCAUGCUCUUUUCUGUAGGUCUGAAAUAUUUUUUUAUAUGCUACAAUGGAAAUUACAAGCACACAUUAAUUACUAUGGACUAGUAACCUCCAUAGCUUCUCUCUGACGAGCUAGAGUGUGCUUUUCAAGUUUUGCAUCACAAGGCUCCUUUUUUUUUUUUUCUUCUUUUCUUCUGAAUCUGACCUCUUUUAAGACUGUACUUUGAACACCUUGCAAGGGUUGAAGUGUGAGUAUAUAAUCAGUCACUCAGUGUUGGUCAGUUACAUAUAAAGUCUACUGUUGGUGGCCCUGAAUUAGUUAUUAUAUUGUUUAGAAGUGAGGCUUCAUUUCACCCUUUUUAUUAUCUCUAAAUAUUGGAAAUAUAUGAGCAGAUGUCUUCCAGAGGGUUUUUUCCAUAUUCAAAGAUUAAU